rnacentral:lncRNA from 1 species
CAUGCCUGUGUGAAGAUAUGAAGGGAAUGCUCUGCUUGUACGAAGCUUCAUACCUUUGUGUACAAGGAGAAAGUACCUUGGAGCAGGCCAGAGAUUUCGCACACAGACAUCUUGGAAAGGGCCUUGAGCACAACAUAGAUCAAAAUCUUGCCAUUGAGGUGAACCAUGCCUUAGAGCUUCCAUUGCAUUGGAGAAUGCCAAGGUUAGAGGCAAGGUGGUUCAUAGACGUAUACGAGAAAAGACAGGACAUGAAUCCUAUCUUGCUGGAGUUUGCUAAAUUGGACUUCAAU